CACCACCACCAUAAGGACCUCCACCAGCACCAGCACCAGCACCUUCACCAUAUCCUCCACCACUACCAUAUCCACCUCCAUGUCCUGCUCCAGGUCCAUACCCUGCUCCCCCACCUCCACCACCACCACUUCCUCCUCCUCCACCUCCUCCAUGUCCAAUGCCACCGCCACCAUAUCCACCUCCGGAACCACCUCCUUGCCCCGCACCAUAACCACCGGCAUGGCCACCGCCAGCUCCACCAGCAUAACCACCACCAGCACCUCCUCCACUUCCCCCACCACCACCACCACUAUGUUCUCCACCACCACCACCACCAUAUCCUGAACCGGCACCUCCACCUGCCCCAUAUCCGACAUCCCCACCUCCAAUUCCACCUCCACCACCACCUCCUUUACCACCUCCACCACCACCACCAUGUCCAGCUACACCUCCAUAUCCAGCGCCACCACCUUCUCCACCACCAGCACCACCUCCAUAACCACCAGCACCAUGGUCUCCUACACCUGCAUAUCCACCACCACCACCUCCACCUUUGCCUCCUCCGCCACCAUAACCUCCAAUACCACCAGCACCAGCACCGUAUCC
rnacentral:lncRNA from 1 species